UGUUUGUUAAACAAAAAUUUUAUAUCAUCGUAUUACAUUCACGAGUUGGAUUCCAUAUCGAUAUCAAACCCGUGGGUUCAUUCUGAGUUUUCUGUAUUGGUGCAUCAUCCUCACGCGACUGCUACCAGACCCUUGUUCUCAAUUCUCUUUCUGUAAGGUGACUUGAAAUGGCAGGAAGGCACCGUGGUCACAGGGAACCGAUGAGUGGCCGGAGGGGUUACCCACCUGAAGGGCCUUAUACUCGUGGGCCGCCACCGAUGCCACGACCGCAUGUUCCCCCUCAUCCGGCGCUGUUGGAAGAAGAGCUUGAAUUGCAGCGUGCUGAUAUGAGGAAUCUUGCGGCGGAAAACAGGAGGCUUGUGGUGGAAAACAGGAACCUGAAUGAUGACAGGAUGGCAUUGCAGAGGGAACUUGCAGCCGUCAAGGAGGAUCUUCAUCGCAUGAUUGGCAACAUUCGCGCUGACCAUGAUCUGCAAUUAAGGGAGAUGGCCGAGAAAGGCAUGAAGUUGGAGUCUGACCUUAGGGCAACCGAGCCCUUUAAGAAUGAAGCUAUACAGCUGCGGUCUGAGGUUAAGAAACUUACUAAUACCAAACAGGAACUCACAGGGAAGGUUCAGACACUUACACAAGAAGUUUCAAGGUUACAAGCUGAAAAUCAACAAAUUCCGAUGUUGAGGUCUGAUUUGGAUAACAUGCACCAAGAGCUAAUGCGUGCCAGAACCAUGGUGGAUUAUGAAAAGAAAGCAAAUAUGGAUAUCAUGGAACAGAGUCAGUCAAUGCAGAAAAACUUGGUUUCCAUGGCCCGGGAAGUUGAGAAAUUGCGUGCUGAGCUUGCUAACGCUGAUGGCAGACAUUGGGGUGCUGGUGGAACUUAUGGAACAAAGUUUGGUAGCCCAGACGGGGGUUAUACAGCGCCAUAUGCAGAUGGGUAUGGUGUUCACCUGGGUGCUGCAGAGAAAGGUUCUCUGUAUGGGGCUAGUGCUGCUUCAAGGCCUGAGAAACCUCGCAUGAAUCGUCGUUGAUGUUUGUGUAAUUGAUGAUACUGAUGAAGAAAGGCCGUCACUUUGGCUGUGUCUGAGGGAUAGCUGACAUUGGGUUUGAUGUCCUUCUGUGUGUGCAUGCCACAUGCAUGGCCAUAUUAUCUGGAAUUCUGGAUAUAUUGUUAGUUCUAAACUGGCAUAUGUUUUGGCUGGGAAUCUGGUUUGGGACUGAGGAGUGAUGUUGCCAUAAUGUUGUGAGAUUUUGAGGAACACUGUAGGUCCUUUACGAUUUCAAAAAUACAAAACCGGAUAACUUAUCUUAGGUGAAGACUGGAUGUCACUGGCAGAAGGAAGGAUGUAUUUUACCUGGUUGUGCUGGAUCAGGAUAACAUAUAGCCGCCUUUGUUGUUCGGAUCAUAUGAUUGAGGUUGGAAAUGAAAGCUUUGGUGGUACGCAUGGAUUGUUUCUUACGAGUUAUGUGCUAUAAGGUAUGGCUGGUGCCAUGGUAAGACAUCUUCAUGUAUUGCUCAGUGCAUAACUCAAUUUCAGAUUGAUUCUAUGCGCAGACUACUAUCAGUAUGUUUAGAAACUCGUUCAAAAACCACAUUGAAGUUAAAAUCUUGGUGAAAGAGAAGCUACUUCCCUUAGCUUCUCCUAUAGAGUAGAAUUGAUUAUGGGUCUUGAAGACAUAAAACCAAACAUGCAAAUUUUUUUGAAGCCUGUCGGGCAAUGAUCCUUUACACCCAGUUUGUUUAUCAUUGGAUUUUGGUUUAAAUUUGUAGAUGAGACUAUGUUAGAAAAUUUUAGCACCUUUUUUAGAAUUUUAGCACUUUAGAGGGUUAAGUAAGAAAUCACAACCAUUGAUUGAGAAUGAGAUUAUGUUAAUAUACUUGUAAAGUGUAUAACUAACUGUAUUGUUUCUAAAAUCUCAAAAGUUGAUUUCUAAUUAAUGGUUGUGAUGAUUUACAUUAUCCUCUAAAGUGAAUCUCUCACCUUAGAGGAGCUAAAUUAAUUAAUGUGCCUCAAAGGACUUGAGGCGUAGUUUGUCGGUUCGAGUUGUCCUCUGUGCACCUACCCAUACGCGCACAGCCUUGUUAUGAUCAAAUAGCGGCUCAACAGGGGGUUCAGACUUCAGAGGUUGUUUUACCAGUCUAAUUUUUCAGGGGCCAAUUUUUAUGGUGUUGGUUUUGCUGGGUUUGGUCAUGGUUCUGCUGUUGUUUUCCAAUUUUUAAAUUCCCCUCCCCUUAUUUCUGCUUUCUGUUGCCUUUACCAUCAACAGUAUUGAAGUUGCAAGUUGCUGUUUACUCCAACUUUGUAGUUUAGUUGUUCA